rnacentral:rRNA from 1 species
AACGAACGCUGGCGGCAUGCCUAACACAUGCAAGUCGAACGAGGCCUUCGGGUCUAGUGGCGCACGGGUGCGUAACGCGUGGGAACCUGCCCUUAGGUUCGGAAUAACUCCCCGAAAGGGGUGCUAAUACCGGAUAAUGUCUUCGGACCAAAGAUUUAUCGCCUUUGGAUGGGCCCGCGUUGGAUUAGCUAGUUGGUAGGGUAAAAGCCUACCAAGGCGACGAUCCAUAGCUGGUCUGAGAGGAUGAUCAGCCACACUGGGACUGAGACACGGCCCAGACUCCUACGGGAGGAAGGAGUGGGGAAAAUGGGAAAAGGGGCGAAAGCCGGAUCCAGCAAGGCCGGGGGAGGGAUGAAGGCCUUAGGGUUGUAAAGCUCUUUUACCCGGGAUGAUAAGGACAGGACCGGGAGAAUAAGCCCCGGCUAACUCCGG